rnacentral:rRNA from 1 species
UACGGAGGGAGCUAGCGUUGUUCGGAAUUACUGGGCGUAAAGCGCGCGUAGGCGGCAUGGCAAGUCAGGGGUGAAAUCCCGGGGCUCACCCCCGGAACUGCCUCUGAAACUGCCAAGCUAGAAUCCUGGAGAGGCGAGUGGAAUUCCGAGUGUAGAGGUGAAAUUCGUAGAUAGUCGGAAGAACAACAGUGGCGAAGGCGACUCGCUGGACAGGUAUUGACGCUGAGGUGCGAAAGCGUGGGGAGCAAACAGG